UCUCUCUCUCUCUAUCUGUCUCUCCUCCUUCUCUUUAGAACCUUCUGGUUCACCCUCUAUGAUGGCUUUCACUGUCUCUCUGGCCACCUCCAGCCUCACCUCUUUUGACCACCAGCCGCCAUGAAGCCUUACUUCACAAGUUCUCUCCACCUUUGAGACCCUACGAGUCUUCUCCAUGCAAGACGGUCACUAGAGCUUUGCUAGGGUUCAUUUCCAACCUUUCUUCGAUGGAAUUUUGUUCGAUGGUGCUGUAAACACCAUUAUUCUCGAGUUUCAUAGCUAUGUUCCUCUUGUUUCUCUCACUGGUUUCUUAUGAAAUCCUAAUCUCG
rnacentral:lncRNA from 1 species